rnacentral:rRNA from 1 species
AUUGAACGCUGGCGGCAUGCCUUACACAUGCAAGUCGAACGGCAGCACGGGUGCUUGCACCUGGUGGCGAGUGGCGAACGGGUGAGUAAUACAUCGGAACAUGUCCUGUAGUGGGGGAUAGCCCGGCGAAAGCCGGAUUAAUACCGCAUACGAUCUACGGAUGAAAGCGGGGGACCUUCGGGCCUCGCGCUAUAGGGUUGGCCGGUGGCUGAUUAGCUAGUUGGUGGGGUAAAGGCCUACCAAGGCGACGAUCAGUAGCUGGUCUGAGAGGACGACCAGCAACACUAGGACUGAGACACAGCCCAGACUCCUACGGGAGGCAGCAGUGGGGAAUUUUGGACAAUGGGCGAAAGCCUGAUCCAGCAAUGCCGCGUGUGUGAAGAAGGCCUUCGGGUUGUAAAGCACUUUUGUCCGGAAAGAAAUCCUUGGCUCUAAUACAGUCGGGGGAUGACGGUACCGGAAGAAUAAGCACCGGCUAACUACGCGCCAGCCGCCGCCGUAA